UACGUAGGGUGCGAGCGUUAAUCGGAAUUACUGGGCGUAAAGCGUGCGUAGGCGGUUCUCCAAGUCCGUUGUGAAAGCCCCGGGCUCAACCUGGGAAUGGCAGUGGAAACUAGGGGACUGGAAUCUGGCAGAGGGGGGUGGAAUGCCGCGUGUAGCAGUGAAAUGCGUAGAGAUGCGGCGGAACACCGAUGGCGAAGGCAGCCCCCUGGGCUGACACUGACGCUCAUGCACGAAAGCGUGGGGAGCAAACAGG
rnacentral:rRNA from 1 species